rnacentral:rRNA from 1 species
GACGAACCGUGCGAACGUUGUUCGGAAUCACUGGGCUUAAAGGGCGCGUAGGCGGGCGGCCAAGUCGGAGGUGAAAGCCUGCAGCUCAACUGCAGAAGUGCCCCCGAUACUGGUUGUCUCGAGGGAGGUAGGGGCAUGUGGAACUUCCGGUGGAGCGGUGAAAUGCGUAGAUAUCGCUUGGAACGCCGAAGGUGAAAACAGGCUGCUGGGGUUGCGCCGACGCUGAGACACGAAAGCCAGGGGAGCAAACGGG